UACGGAGGGGGCUAGUGUUGUUCGGAAUUACUGGGCGUAAAGGGCGCGCAGGCGGCUUGGCAAGUCGAGUGUGAAAUCCCUUGGCUUAACUAAGGAAUGGCGCUCGAAACUACCUCGCUAGAGGACGGGAGAGGGAAGUGGAACUCUCGGUGUAGGGGUGAAAUCUGUAGAUAUCGAGAGGAACACCGGUGGCGAAGGCGGAUCUCUGGGCCUGUCCUGACGCUGAGGCGCGAAAGCUAGGGGAGCGAACAGG
rnacentral:rRNA from 1 species